UCCAGUUGCUGAUCCACCCGUGAUUUAUCGGUUCAUCCGCAUAAUGAAUGCCAUUGUUAUUGUUUUGUUUAUGUGUGACCUGUUUUCAAUUUGUUGCCGGGCCGGAAAGUUUUCGUUCAGGUUUGGAUUUCACAACGAAACCCCAUGCGCUGCUGGGGCCUUUAAUUGUACCUUCGACAAUGGCCGCAGAAGUACUGGUCUGCAACGAACGGAAAUGGUCCCAGGUUAUCGUAAGUCGGAUUCGAUAUCCCGCGUUAUCGGUCUUCUGCAAAAGAAAACACGGGGGACCACCAUUCGUUCUACCGGAAGUACCCAAACCCAACGACAGCGGACGGAAGUAGAAAUGAUUAUUCUCGAAGAAACAGUUGCGGUCACUGUUUGACGUUACCACUCUACAGAAACAGCUGAUUGGGCUGAAAAGCGAGGAGAGAGCGAAAAGUUUCCUGGAUUCGGCUGCUCAUUCAAGUUGAUUUCAACCCCCAAAAAGCGGAAGCAAAAGAUUCUCGAACAUAACGAAUCAAGCGUGAGAAGGCUAUCGGACCGAAAAUCUGCGGAGGUUCCAACGGAUCGUAAAGCCAUCUUGGAUCGCUAUGCGGUUGACCAUAAGACGAGUCUUUUAAAGGACUAUUGGAAAUGUGGAAUCUAUUACUAAAAAAGUGGAGGAAACGCUAUUUUAAACGAUAAAUUAGUGAUAUAGA